CAACAGGGAUUACCUCAGUAACGGCGAGUGAAGCGGUAAUAGCUCAAAUUUGAAAUCUGGCUCUUUCAGGGUCCGAGUUGUAAUUUGUAGAGGAUGUUUCGGGCACGGUUACGGUUUAAAUUUCUUGGAACAGAAUGUCAAAGAGGGUGAGAGUCCCGUCUUGAACCGAUUACUUCGUCCAUGUGAAACUCCUUCGACGAGUCGAGUUGUUUGGGAAUGCAGCUCAAAAUGGGUGGUAAAUUUCAUCUAAAGCUAAAUAUUGGCCAGAGACCGAUAGCGCACAAGUAGAGUGAUCGAAAGAUGAAAAGCACUUUGAAAAGAGAGUUAAACAGUAUGUGAAAUUGUUGAAAGGGAAGCGCUUGCAAUCAGACUUGAGCUUAACGGUUCCCCCUUCGUUCUCGAUGGGUUAUUCCGUUUUGUCCAGGCCAACAUCAGUUCGGGUGGUUAGUUAAAGACUUUAGGAAUGUAUCUACCCUCCGGGGUCGACUUAUAGCCUAGAGUGUCAUGUAGCCUACCUGGACUGAGGAACGCGCUUCGGCUCGGAUGUUGGCGUAAUGGUUGUAAGCGACCCGUCUUGAAACACGGACCAAGGAGUCUAACAUCUAUGCGAGUUUUAGAGUUUCAAACUCUGAGGCGUAAUGAAAGUGAACGGAGGUAAGAAGCCUUUAGGCUGCAUUAUCGACCGAUCUUGAUGUCUUCGGAUGGAUUUGAGUAAGAGCAUAGCUGUUGGGACCCGAAAGAUGGUGAACUAUGCCUGAAUAGGGUGAAGCCAGAGGAAACUCUGGUGGAGGCUCGCAGCGGUUCUGACGUGCAAAUCGAUCGUCAAAUUUGGGUAU
rnacentral:rRNA from 1 species